rnacentral:misc_RNA from 1 species
AAGUCGUAACAAGGUAGCCGUAUCGGAAGGUGCGGCUGGAUCACCUCCUUUCUAGGGAGAAAUUGGUUUACUAUCCAGUCUUGAGAGUUCAUCUCUCAUGCACUCAAUUAGUGCAUUUUGUACAUUGAAAACUGCAUAUCAUAAACAAUCCUAAUAAGGUCAGCGAGAGCUGAUUUUAAGUAAUGAAAGGUUACAUUUUCUCUUAGAAAAUGAAAAGGUCAAGUUAGAAAGAGCGUAGGGUGAAUGCCUUGGCGCUGGGAGCCGAUGAAGGACGUGGUAAGCUGCGAUAAGCUUUGGGGAGGUGCAAGCAACCUUUGAUCCAGAGAUUUCCGAAUGGGGAAACCCA